UGUAGAUCACCAACAACAACUCUAAACCAUUUAAAGAUCCUAGGAACACAUCUUGUUUUGGUUGGCCCUGAACUUCCCAUCUGAGAUGAACUUCCCCAGGACUAUAUUUUUUAUUUGGCUUCUAUUCAUCCUUUAAGGGUUCAGUUCAAUCAUAGCUUCCCCCAAGAAAUCUUCAGGAAAGAUUCCAAAGGGUAACUGACAGUAACAACUGACUAUCUGUACUAGUCAGUUCGGUGUCCCCAAAGCCAGUGACCAGUGAUGUGUCCAUUGUCCAUGCUAAGUCCUCUUCAGCAGCUGGCUCAUAUCCUGCCCCUUUAAAAUCGCACUGAAAGUCUAUCAACAGCCCGUUGUUUCAGUGUUUUCAGGUGUACACUAAUAAUAAAGCUGAAGCUGACGCUGUUGUAACUUUUUUGGGAAUACGUGACAUGUAGUCGGAACCAAACAAAACUAUAAAUUGCCUGGCUGAUGAAAAUCCCCCAAUAUAUCCCUUGAGGCUGCUUUGCAGAUCCUUCAUAACUGGUUCAAACAGCUGCAACAUUCUCAAAAAAGGUAGAGUACUUAAAGUCAACUUUUUAACAACCUAGAAUAACAAGAAAAUCUGCAGAAAGAAAGCACCUGAACAUUGUCAGACCCAGGUAGAUUGCUGGACAAAGGGGUAAACUAACACAGCCUCUGGAAAGCCAUGCAGUUAGUCCCACAGAAAUGGAAAAUGGACAGGCUUUCUUGAAGAGUUUCCCUUCAAAGGGCCUAUGAAAACAAGACAGGUUGUAUGGUGAUGUGUGCCUGCAAUGAUGACUUCAAAGAUGAAGAGCUUUGUUUCAACCAUGACUGUGGCUUAUCCAAUCCUCUGUUACCUUAAUUCUCCUGAGAUUUGAUCAUAUUCUGUUAUUUGACAACAAAAAGUCAGUUUAAAAAUUAAAAUGUACC